rnacentral:rRNA from 1 species
ACUCCUACGGGAGGCAGCAGUGGGGAAUAUUGCACAAUGGGGGAAACCCUGAUGCAGCCAUGCCGCGUGUGUGAAGAAGGCCUUCGGUUGUAAGCACUUCAGUUGUGAGGAAGGUGGUGUCGUUAAUAGCGGCAUCAUUUGACGUUAGCAACAGAAGAAGCACCGGCUAACUCCGUGCCAGCAGCCGCGGUAAUACGGAGGGUGCGAGCGUUAAUCGGAAUUACUGGGCGUAAAGCGCAUGCAGGUGGUUUGUUAAGUCAGAUGUGAAAGCCCGGGGCUCAACCUCGGAACUGCAUUUGAAACUGGCAGACUAGAGUACUGUAGAGGGGGGUAGAAUUUCAGGUGUAGCGGUGAAAUGCGUAGAGAUCUGAAGGAAUACCGGUGGCGAAGGCGGCCCCCUGGACAGAUACUGACACUCAGAUGCGAAAGCGUGGGGAGCAAACA